GCGAUCGCACGCCCUCUUCCCUGCCGCAAACUCCACUGCCGAAACUACCGCCGCCAUCCUCCCGCAGCGAUCGUGCGACGGGAUCUCAGACCAUCCCGCCGACCCUGCGGCGCCGCCUCCCAGUCCGCCAUCACCUUCCUGCUGCUGCCGCCUCCAAGUCCGCCAUCGCCUUUCUGUUGCUGCCGCUGACCCUGUGCCGCCGUCGCCUCCCAGUCCGCCUCCUCCUCUUCCAGCCUCAAAUCUGGCCCACCUCCCCUGACCCGCCUCUCACCCCACGCCUCCCGACGGUUCCAUCUCCACACCGACGCCCUCCCCCUCCUCGCCCACGCGACGCCCUUCCCCUCAUGCCGCCACAGCCCGCGAAGCCCUCGCCCUCGCCUAGCGCCCUCCCCACACCGUCGUCCCCACCGUGUCCGACUCCGGCCUCCCCGACGAGCGCGGGUCGCUGGCUCUCCGCUGCUCCGCCGUCGACGCGCCGUGCCCUCGCGCCGCCGUCCCCCGCGCUUCGCCGCCGACGUGCGGCGCUGGCGGCCUCCCCACGACGCUCCACCGCGACUACCGCUGUCCCGCCGUGGAUCCCGACUCCUGCAGCCCCGUCGCGCUGCUGCCGUCCCCGACGCGCGCGCCGCGACUCCUGCCGCCCCGCUUGUAACCUCCAGACUCACGGCGACUGUGCAAGACUGUUUUCCCUAUGGUUUGCACUCAGCGUGGCUAUUCAAAAUGGUACUGCCUUUCACUCCUCCUCCUCCUUGGUACCUUUACUAACAGGGCUACUCUUGCAGUAAUUAAACAACUGUCUUUCAGAAUUUAAACUUUUUUUGCGCACUUUGCUCACUUUAAAAGAAUCAAUUAUAUUGCAGGGGGUUAUGCAGAUCAUGUUUUACAUGCUUACUGAAGAAGCGGCACACAGAUUCUACAAUCAUCUUGCAUUAUUACUAGCACUUUGCAUAGCAAAGAGUGAGAGCGAUCGAUACAAUGCUCUGAUUUAGGAGCUGUUUUGGUCCCUGCAUCCAUCAAUCUGAAAUAGGUAUUGCCUUGUCAGCCCAGUAUUGAACUUUAGCCUGAAAAAUUGCUUAUGCUGCCCUGCUUUUUUCAAAUACCUUGAGAUCUUAAGCAUGUGUCGCGAAUCCCAUUUAAGUUCCAAUCCAUUUGGAAAAACCAUUGACUUGAGGUUGAAAUUGUCCACCUGGGAAAAAGGAAUAUCAUCUGUUUUAGUUAUAGAAUUGAAGUGAAAGAGCUUCUACCUUCUAGUUUGUUCGCUUGCUGUAGGAUUUGUAGUUGCUUAGGUGCAUGAAGUAGUGUUCUGCCUUUAGGGAUCCCUAAAGGCAUGGAAGGAGGAGACGAGUUUUAUGCUCUCCUCUACUCUUUAAGGUUUAUGUUUUUUGCAUGUACUGCAUAGUGCCAUAGUACCAGUACUUGUACAAGGAUCAGUGCUUGUGUGUCUUGAUUUGGAAUAUGUAAGUCAUCAGCCAAAGUACUUUUUUGUAGUGUCAGUUUCAUGUUUGAUGAAUUUGCAGUUGCUUAAGAAUUGUUGAAGUGCUAUUUUCUCCCAAUCACCGACGCAUCAAUCAUCAUGUCCACCAGUUUUAAGUGAUCAAAUGAGCAGCUCCUCGCUGCCAACAAUGUGUGGCAAUAGGUUGCAUCAGGACUUCAGACUCAGAGCGUCUGAAAUAGGGGACUUCUUGUAUCCAGAACUCAUUAUGGCAUGCAUUUCCGAUGAUACGCCAACCUCUCGGCGUAGCCCAGCAAGGAAAAGAUCCACUAAUACAACUUAAUAAAGAACUAUGUGAGACAAAUCGCCGUCCACACUCCACUAACCUUUUAUGUUGAUGCCCAUACAUAAUGCUUUAAUUCCAGUCAUCUGGUGUGCUUGUGCUGAUUCUUUUCUUUUUUUUGUUUUUUUCCUGAAAAGAAUUAGAUCAGUACUGAUCCUUGUACCAUCGUUGCAGUUUUAACAUUCCUGCUCUAGAACUCAAGCAAUAUAUUGAGAAUCUUAGCACCUAGCAGAAUAUUGCAAUUGACCUUUUAUGUUGCUUUAAUUAUGGUCAUCUUGUAUGCUUGUGCUGAUUCUUUUUUUUUGCUCCUAAAGAGAAUUAGAUCAGCAUUACAACUCUGAAACUUCAUUCAAAUACAAUAUGGCUUACUUUUUGAAGUGCAUCAACUGCAACCAUUUGCUAAUUAUUUUUGUAGGUGCAUCAGAUGCGUCAAUUUACUUAAUAGAAAAAAAGAGAGAUGUUCAGGUAGACUUUGGCUAUAGGGAUUACAAAAAUUCAGUGGAAAUUCAAUACCCCUUUGGAAGGACUAGAUUUUAUGAACGGACUAUGUUUUGCCAUCUGAUAAUUAUCAAAUUCGUAUAUGAUUUUGGUGAAUAGGAUGAUCUACUCUUAGAUGUAAUGCAUGCAUCUCUUGUAUAGCAGUUCGGAGAAUUUUUUUAUAUAUAUAUAUCCAAUUGAUGGUUGUGAGCAUCAAUUGAAGUAAGUAUCAUCUGCUUUAUUCUAAACUGAAAGAUUGUUAUCUAUAUUAUUAUACUAAUUGUAUUAUGUUGAUAUUGGAUCAUGUACGGUUAUCAAACUAUCAUAGAUGGGUCCGGUGAAAAAUAACAGGGGUCGUACUCCAUUUGCGCUUGUGUUUGAGAUUUCAGUUCACUAAACAGAGUUCUCAUUAACACAUUGUGUAGGUACUGAAACAUCCAUUGCAUACCUAUUGAAACAUCAAAAAAUUGAAUUAAAUAUGUUGCAGGUUCGCCAAGGUUGUCAAGGAGGCGGAGAGCAGAGGGAUCGCAGUUGUCUGUGUUCUUGGGACAGACCGACCUAAAGAUUCGGUUCUUUGGUGAAGUAGUUGUUGCACAAAAUCAGACAAAGUUAACAGGUAGUUCAGUAGAAACCCCUCUCUUCCCUGAAUCCAAAAAUGAUGGGCAACUUGCAGACAUUUGGAAUACUAGCUGCUGCAAGUUUAAUGUCCAGUGCACAUACCAUCUUUGUUGGCUGAUUUUCAUCUUUUUACACUUGAUUUUUUAGCACCCGUAGCAAUGCAUGGGCAUACACCUAAUUGCUAGAGGUCAACUAAUUUUGAUCUAAUUGCUAGAGGGAAAAAAGGUUUGUUCAUUACAAUAUAAAUUGUUUUUGAGGAUUAGAAAUUUAUCAUGAAUGCAGUGCUGGUUGAUAUUAGGGUUGCAAACUUAGGCUUUCGUUAUAUUGCCCAUAGGUUGGAGAAUAGACAAUAGGAUGGAUGCAUCACAAGACAAACUAGACAAGUCGAGUGUAGUUUGUAUGCUAGGGAUUAUGCUGUCAACAAUUUUUGUAAGAUGACUCAUCAUAUGUAUGAAGGGUCACGUUUGUUCCUUCAAAAUAACUGGAAAAUUCUAAAAUGAUGGGAUUGGUUUCAUA